AUAGAUAGACAGUCUAGAAAUGUUUAAACUAUUUACAUGUGUUUGGUAAGCUUGCAUUACAUUCCCCCUGUCACAUGGGGAUCUAUGGUUGAUUCUAGAUGAAAUAGUCAACUCUGUUACAGUCAACCCUGUCACUUUAUUUGGCACUUAAUAGGCACUUGCUAUAGUAUGUAUUUGUUACUUUUGAGAUGGGAAAACAUGUUUUAUAUUAAGUUGAACAUGUGCUAUUUAUGACAGAAUAUUAUAAUUAGGUGAAAUAAAAGUUACACUCCCCAAAAGGUACUCAAUUGGUGGAAUGACCCGAGUACUGAACUGGAGGUGGGAGAGCUAACGAUGCGUCUACUGUUGCUCUCUCCUCAGACUCUUAGAGAAGCUAUUUCAAUCUGAUAUUUCUCCUAUGGUCUAAAAUAGAUGUGUAUAGAGGACUCCUCUCUAAUAUAACAUGUCACACAUUGUAUCAAACUGAUGGAAUGUUAGGUGUCUCAUUGAAAGUCUAACAUCUACCAUGACUACUGGAUGUUUCAAUUCUAAUAAAUAACAAAACAAUCCACACCGUAACAACAAUAUUGUUUUUUUACUAAAUGCUUUUAUUAAAGAAUAAAACUUUGCUAACAAAAAUGACAUCAUCAAACAUCACUGGCCUGACUUGAGCAGCUCUGCCCGGGGAUGGAGCCAGCAACUUAGCUGCUACCGGUCCGGUCCAGGCUACCUGCAGACCUCCUCCCAGACCUCCUUUUCAGCACCUCCCCUUAACAGGAGAAGUGGUGGAAAUGAUCAGAGUUGCAUUCAACUAGAAUAAAGAUGAGAAACUCUGGUCUGUGGAGCCACUGGUCUGAGGGGAGGACUUCUGUUGAAACCAUUUCCAUUUUUGGGAUAUUUUCUAGGACUGUAGAGGUGGUAAGCAGAGAUGAAUUUAACUAGGAUACAGAUGAGAGUCUCUGUUCUUGGGAGGAGGGUCACUGACCUUCAAUGGUUUGUUGCCUGAUAAUGAGGAUACUUGCUGGCUUGAGGAGACUAUAAUGUUUUGAGGAGGAAAUGUGGCUCGAUGACUUAAAGAGGAGGAGGAAUUAUUGGGCGACACUUUUAAUUACCAACGUAACCUCAGUGGAACUGUGGCUUCAUUGAGUUCCAGCUCUAGGCAGACAGCACGUCAGGAAUGCUGUAAGACAUCACAGAGACAGAUGCUUGGCUUUUUCUUUGUCUUUGUGUUGGAGAUUGGCUCUGAUGUGUCAGCCUCUUCUGGAGCUUCUAGCUGCUGGCUGUCUGGCCCCCCCUGAUGGUUCUCUGGCCCCUCCUGCCUGUUCUCUGAACUCUCCUCCUGGUUCUCUGCCCAUGCCUGUUGCCUCCUUGGCCCCUCUUGCUGGCCAUCUCCAGAUGCAACAGGCUCUUGGCUUACUUGUUGGCCUGUCGCCCACCCCGGCAAUUCCUGACCUUGGUUGUAGUCGUGGCUGUGUUGGGUGGUUGGACACCGGGUGAUGUACUGGGUGCUGAACUUCUGGAUUUGCUCAUCAGCCUCCAGAUUAAUCUGCUCCAGGUUUGUGGUUCCAGGCCAGUCUUGGUCGCUGCUCCUCCAUGACUUUCUGCCAUAGCCUCAAUCUCUCAAUCUCUUGCUUCAUUUUAAAAGGUAAAAUUAGUGAUAAUCUAUUACCAAGACAUACUUUCAAAGGAUUUGCAGAGAAUGAUACACAGAAAUACAACCUAGAGCUAGGUAAUUGAAUCAAACACUGGACAACAUCAAUAGCAGGGUCAUGUUGAUCAAUUCAUCUGGACAAUUCAUUGUCAAUUAAUGUAUUGACAUGGUUUGUAAAAAUUAUGAGACAAAAAAUUAUGAGAAAUUAUGAGACAGGAAAGGAAUAAAAGUUAACAUUAGGUUAGCGUACCGCUGUCUGCCACUAUUCAUUUUCAGCUGGGUAAAUAUACACUGCCUUUUAAUAAUAACAAUGACAUGUCUUACGUGGGCCAGUUGUAGGUCCACCAUCAGUAGAUCCAGCAGUUGUUUGAGUCUGUGGAUCUCCUGCAGUUUUCUCUGGUUCUCCAUUGCUUCUGUGGCUCUCUCUGCUUCUCUCUGUCUCUCUGCUUCUCUCUGUCUCUCUGCCUCCCUCUGUCUCUCUGCCUCCCUCUCUCUCUCUCCCUCCCUCUGUCUCUCUGCUUCUCUCUGUCUCUCUGCUUCUCUCUGUCUCUCUGCUUCUCCCUGUCUCUCUGCCUCUCUCUGGCUCUCUGCCUCCCCUCUGGCUCUCUGCCUCCCUCUGGCUCUCUGCCUCCCUCAGUCUCAGGAUCUCAGCCUUCCACUCUUUCAUUAAACCCCUUUCAACUCUUCUUCUCCUCCUUUCAUCUUUUAAAAGGGCUCGGAGAUGGUCUGUCUCAGACUGUAAUUCUUCAAUGAUCUUGUCUUUCUCCGUUCCACCAUUCCUCUUCUUCUUUUCCUCCUCCCAGAGACACACUUGAAGUCUGUCCAUCUCCUUCUUCUGGUUUCGGAUCGUUCGAUCCUUCCCCAUCAACUCAAGCAUGUGGGCUUCCUUCUCUGUAUAGGUCUUCUUCUCUUCUCUCAGGAAGUGAACCUCCAUCUCUGCCUGCUUGUAGCUGGGAGCAAAGGAAUGUCAACACAUUAUUUAGGAAGUGAACUCAGACAAUUUACUACAAUAUUACAAUAAUAAUUCAACUUCUGCUCAAUUUAACUGUCUUUAAUAACACAAAUCACACAACUGUGACUUACAAUAUGUGAAUGUGAUGAGUUGACUGUCCAUGAUGGCCAGAGGUGGGUAAUGUGUAGCUCUGGUCCAGGGCGUUACGUACAGCUUGCAGACACUGAGCCUUCCUUCAGCAAGCCGCACAUAAUGCCCUGGACCAGAGCUAGGUUAUGUGAUGAAUGACUUACAGACUGUUCCAUAUGAUAGGAGGGGGUAAGAAGACAGUCCCAGUAGGAGACGGAGAUCGUCCAGAAGAAGAAGAGCUGUCCAUCUCCUCAGAGACUGCAGGAAAGGUCUACAAGUUUUAUUUCUGGAAAAUAAAGAGAUGCCUUCGUUCAGCAA